rnacentral:rRNA from 1 species
UAGGGAAUCUUCCGCAAUGGGCGAAAGCCUGACGGAGCAACGCCGCGUGAGUGAUGAAGGUCUUCGGAUCGUAAAACUCUGUUAUUAGGGAAGAACAAAUGUGUAAGUAACUAUGCACGUCUUGACGGUACCUAAUCAGAAAGCCACGGCUAACUACGUGCCAGCAGCCGCGGUAAUACGUAGGUGGCAAGCGUUAUCCGGAAUUAUUGGGCGUAAAGCGCGCGUAGGCGGGUUUUUAAGUCUGAUGUGAAAGCCCACGGCUCAACCGUGAAGGGUCAGUGGAAACUGGAAAACAUGAGUGCACAAGAGGAAAGUGGAAUUCCAAUUGUAGCGGUGAAAUGCGGAGAGAUAUGGAGGAUCAACAGUGGCGAAGGCGUUUUUCUGGUCUGUAACAGAUGCAAAAGUGCGAAAGAGUGGGGAUCAAGCAGG